rnacentral:rRNA from 1 species
UACGGAGGAUGCAAGCGUUAUCCGGAAUGAUUGGGCGUAAAGCGUCCGCAGGUGGCCGUUCAAGUCUGCUGUCAAAGACCGGGGCUUAACUUCGGAAAGGCAGUGGAAACUGAACAGCUAGAGUAUGGUAGGGGCAGAGGGAAUUCCUGGUGUAGCGGUGAAAUGCGUAGAGAUCAGGAAGAACAUCGGUGGCAAAGGCGCUCUGCUGGACCAUAACUGACACUCAGGGACGAAAGCUAGGGGAGCGAAUGGG